UUCCAAGUUUCUUAGUUUCUUAAUGGUGAACACAUUCACUAAGCACAGCUACCAGAAACUACAAACAGUCCAGUUUGUCAAAUGUACACAUGGGAGAGAGAGAGGAGACAACGGGUACUGGUGUCAGUAUGUUCAGACCAGUACCACAACAGCUGGGAUGAUGACAUCUUUUGACCAGUUUUUAACGAUUUAAAAUGGCGCGAUCAAUGCUAGUGCUGACAAGAACGAUGGUAAUUUAUAAUGUCUACCUGUUAUUGUACAACCAGCUCUCCCAAAUGUAA